rnacentral:lncRNA from 1 species
GGCGGCGAGGCGCGCAGCGGCGGCGCAGGCGCGGAGAGGCGCUGGCGCCGGCUCUGGCGCGGAGAGGUGCAGGCCCAGGCUCCACUCCCCAGCUGUGAAAGGGUUUUCUGCCUCCUGCUAAGCCAAUUUAUACAUUCCAAGAAAAUCUUCCAUUUCAUCCAGGUGAAACGGAACCUACUGGAAUGAAGCUGGCCUCCCAUGGAAUGAAGCUGGCCUCCCGUCUCCUUGAUUUGAA